GAGGUUAAGCGACUAAGCGUACACGGUGGAUGCCCUGGCAGUCAGAGGCGAUGAAGGGCGUACUAAUCUGCGAUAAGCGCCGGUAAGGUGAUAUGAACCGUUAUAACCGGCGAUACCCGAAUGGGGAAACCCAGUGUGAUUCGUCACACUAUCAUUAACUGAAUCCAUAGGUUAAUGAGGCGAACCGGGGGAACUGAAACAUCUAAGUACCCCGAGGAAAAGAAAUCAACCGAGAUUCCCCCAGUAGCGGCGAGCGAACGGGGAGGAGCCCAGAGCCUGAAUCAGCAUGUGUGUUAGUGGAAGCGUCUGGAAAGGCGCGCGAUACAGGGUGACAGCCCCGUACACAAAAGCGCAUGUGCUGUGAGCUCGAUGAGUAGGGCGGGACACGUGGUAUCCUGUCUGAAUAUGGGGGGACCAUCCUCCAAGGCUAAAUACUCCUGACUGACCGAUAGUGAACCAGUACCGUGAGGGAAAGGCGAAAAGAACCCCGGCGAGGGGAGUGAAAAAGAACCUGAAACCGUGUACGUACAAGCAGUGGGAGCACAGGUUUACCUGUGUGACUGCGUACCUUUUGUAUAAUGGGUCAGCGACUUAUAUUCUGUAGCAAGGUUAACCGAAUAGGGGAGC
rnacentral:rRNA from 1 species